ACCAGCGAGGCUUACUUAGUGUGGGAGGGACGCGAGCUCCAAGGAUCAGGGACUGUGAGGCUGUCUGUGAGGCUGGCUACCACGGAAGUUGCAAAUAGGGAUGAUUUUCCUACUUUUGUUCCUUAUCUUCUGACCUUUAACAGGUCAUUUUCUACAGAUCUGUCAGUCUUUUUAUUUGUACUUUUUAAAUUGGUAUUUUGCUAAGGAAGGCCUUCUUUACCUCAAGAUUGUAAAAAUUCUGGGGAAUCUUUGAGAACAAGCAUCCGAGAGUCAUUUUUCUGAUCUUUCUUCAUUUGCACUGGAGUGGCGAUGCCAGGCUCUCAGAGGGUGUCCCAUGCACGAUUUCUCCUCACCCUCGGAACAAACCUAGCAGGUGGGUCAGUCGCUCCAGGUGGGACAGACAUCGGCUGCACAAGGACCACGGCAAAUCUGCCCCCAGGACGCUUCCAAAGAGGGCAGUGGGGUCACUCAGUGCCCGUGAACGCUCAGGGUCACUCAACGUCUGUGAACGCUCAGGCACCAUGCUGAGUAGCCACCAGGUCAGCAGCCCCGGGUGCGGCCCCCAGACAGGAAGGGUGGGCUCCUGCUUUAGCCUGGCAUUGUCUUUGCUUCUGUUCUUCCUUCUGGUGACUUCCACCUUGGAACCUGGGAGCUGGAACGGUGCACACCCCAGUGUUGUCAGAAACAUCCUCCAAAGCCUCCAUACACUGCUCCCCUUGGAAGGACAGGAAGAGGCUCUAUCUCCGACUCCCUGAGGGAUCUCACCCCUGCUGGGCAGCAUUUACCCUAGGGAAGAAUGGACGAUGAGCAGGGGAUGAUGAGCAGGGAAGCAGCUGAA
rnacentral:lncRNA from 1 species